AAUGAACGCUGGCGGCAUGCCUAACACAUGCAAGUCGAACGAGACCUUCGGGUCCAGUGGCGCACGGGUGCGUAACGCGUGGGAACCUUCCCUUGGGGUCGGAAUAACUCCCCGAAAGGGGUGCCAAUACCGGAUAAGGUCUUCGGACCAAAGAUUUAUCGCCUUUGGAUGGACCCGCGUUGGAUUAGCUAGUUGGUAGGGUAAAAGCCUACCAAGGCGACGAUCCAUAGCUGGUCUGAGAGGAUGAUCAGCCACACUGAGACUGAGACACGGCCCAGAAUCCUACGCAAGGCAGGAGAGGGGAAUAUUGGACAAUGGGCGGAAGCCUGAUCCAGCAAUGACGCGUAAGUGAUGUAGGCCUUGGAGUUGUAAAGCUCUUUUACCCGGGCUGAUAAUGACAGUACCGGGAGAGUAAGCUCCGGCUAACUCCGUG
rnacentral:rRNA from 1 species